rfam:Trichomalopsis sarcophagae strain Alberta scaffold1612, whole genome shotgun sequence.
CGCAAAUGAUGAUUUGCUUUGGUCCGUGUUUAUGAUUGAACAGUGAUUUUAAAACGAAGCUUUUUACUGAUGUA